UGGGGAAUAUUGGACAAUGGGCGAAAGCCUGAUCCAGCCAUGCCGCGUGAGUGACGAAGGCCUUAGGGUUGUAAAACUCUUUCGUCGGGGACGAUAAUGACGGUACCCGAAGAAGAAGCUCCGGCUAACUUCGUGCCAGCAGCCGCGGUAAUACGAAGGGAGCUAGCGUUGUUCGGAAUCACUGGGCGUAAAGCGCACGUAGGUGGGCAGUUAAGUCAGGGGUGAAAGCCCGAGGCUCAACCUCGGAAUUGCCUCUGAUACUGGCUGUCUAGAGUUCGAGAGAGGUGAGUGGAAUUCCUAGUGUAGAGGUGAAAUUCGUAGAUAUUAGGAAGAACACCGGUGGCGAAGGCGGCUCACUGGCUCGAUACUGACACUGAGGUGCGAAAGCGUGGGGAGCAAACAGGAUUAGAUACCCAGGUAGUCCCUGAGCGGGCUGGCAAGGCGCAU
rnacentral:rRNA from 1 species